GCUCGGAAAAUUCCAAAAAGGAAUUUACGAACUGCGGGUCCCACUACUCCACCUGGGCGUAUGCACGAUCAACAACUGCAACGAGAAGGAGCUACAAGAGCUCAUCGGAGCAGUGCUUCCUCCUUCCAUAGAUGUCACCAUCUCGAAUUGCGUAACAUCUUUGCCUCCCGCCAUGACAAAAGGGCAGGUUGCUAUUUUAUCGUUUCUUGGCAUUUUGGUGUUGUUGCUUGUGGUUGGAACACUUCUGGAUAUAUGCAGCCCUGCAGGGCAGGAUAUGAAAAGAAAGAAGCAGAAUUGCUUGCUGUCUGCUUUGACGUCAUUUUCUGUAGCGUCGAAUACGAACAUGAUACUUCACGUAGCUAAAGACAAAGGUUCCGACGCCUACAGGCUGCGCUUCCUACACGGCAUCCGCUUCUUGAGCAUCG